rnacentral:lncRNA from 1 species
AUAAUGGAUCUUCGAAUGUUAAUCUACCGAAAAUAGAGAAAAUACAGAUCUAGUAGGGGAAUAUGAGAACUUCGAAUGUUAAUUCACUAAUAAAUAGAGGAUCUAUAGAAAAACAAAGGAUCUGCGAAUCUACCAGAAAAUAAAGAAUCUUCAGAUGUUGAUUCAUCAGAAAACAGAGGUCAAUAAAUCGACAAUAGGGAUUUUCACAGCUUUUAGACAAGGCAAUGACGACCAUAGCAAAGACGAAAGAAAUAGCCACAACAGAUUAGGUGAUCGGAGGUUCUGAUACUAUAUUAAAAUAUUUGUAGAAGAAGAGAGAAAUAAAAAAAGAGAGAAAAAUAAUUUUAUUUCUCCAUUCCAUAUAUUCGAUACAUCUCGGGCUUAUAUAUACUUGUCUACAGACUCCAUGCAA